GGGGAGGCGGGUGGCCUCUGGCCCCGCGAGAGGCUCCUGCCCGCCUAUGGAAUUAAAAAAAAACAAACCCAAAACUUCAUGCUAGCUGUGGUAAACAGUAAUAAGUAGUUUAUGCAAGCUGAGCAAAUAAAAUAAGUUUGAAAUACUUACAAUUAGCACUCGGUUCCCAGAUUGAAAACCAGGCCCUGGUGGUUAGUGCUUCCGUGUGGAGCCGGGGUCGGGACAAGUCGGGGGGUCGCGGGGCAGCCUUUUGUCAGGCCUGGGCACGGAUCAUGUUCCUGCUUGCGUUCGCUGGAGCAGCAGAGCCUUGCAAAGGCUUAGGUGAUUAACGUCAGUCAAUUCAUCUGAAUCUUGUACGUUCUGAAACUUUGCAAGCGUGAAAUCUGCUGCACGAGUCGUCCCUUCCCCGCUGCGUUUUGCACUAGCGCGGUGUUUCCUUGCCCCACCACCUCCGCGGGUGGACAAGAACGCUCAAAAAAAACAACCCCAGGACCCCCAAACCCACCCCAUACCGUGCCCGCUCAUGGGCGAUGCUGCUGGAGCUGCUGGAGCCGGUCGGAAACACACCUCUGAAACAAGGGCACGGCUUCACCGUGCUGCCGACUGAAGCCCAGCGCCGAUAAUCCCUGUGCCGGCACUUACAGAGAGGUUCUUCCUGCUGGUCGCCUUACUGGAAAUAUCAAUCUUGUACUUGUACGCCAGAAUCUGAAACUAGUGGUCUGCCAUGUACUUGCCAAAAUGAUUUUUCCCUGAUAAAAUGCAUUCUAUCGUUUGUCAUUAGUUUUCAGAGUGCUGCGGAGUGCGGAGGGCCAGAGAAAAAUGACCUGAAUUCAGCAGCAGAGGGUUUUGGCCUUAUUUAAUUCAGUAGAAACCUGAGUUUAAAUCUGGCAGAAGCUAGCAAACUUGCCCUGAAGUUCAGCAGGCGCUUCCAGCUGCCUGCGUGCGGCCCUCGGCCCGCGUGGGAGCGCGGAGGGACGUCCAGGGCCAUCGCUGCCGCCACCAUCGGGCACCCCGCUCCCCAGCGACAAUGGCGUUAUUUAACAAGACCAGAUCAUUGUUCAACUAGGACGUGAUUCACUUCAGGAUAUUACUCGCGAUGGAUGCGAGCACUGUGGGGGCGUGCGCAUAGAACCAUGCAAAGGCGGGCGCGUACACAACUAACUCCACAAAAGUUCCCUCGAUCAAGAAAUUGUGCUAUUUAAGAUUAAAUCUGUAAAACUCAGUCUAGACAAUCCACAGUUAUAGGAGAUGCACGUUACAGGAGUUUUAAAAUGUCGAACAUUCCUGCGUUGGAUACUAAUGGUGCCGAGGAAUCUGCAGCUGUCUGUGUUGGAUGUGAGUGGAACCAGUCCUCGGAGAGCGGGAAAUGGCAGGAACUGCCUCUAACUAUUGUAAUCUACAAGAUUAUCCCAUUAAUCAGGCUGUGUCUCUGCCUCGAACAGACCCCCGCAAGACUGACAGCUUAAUCCCGGCGUGCUCCGCCGAAGGGCGACUGCCGCGCAGCCGGCGUCUCCUGCUCGCCACCCCCGUGCUCCGCAGGCUCCGUGGCAGCAGGAGCGCUCUCACGAGAGUCCUGCCGAAAGGACGACCCUGCAGCUGCUGGGGACCACGCAGGGACAUCCGCGGGUGAGGUCAGGACCUCAGAUCGCAACCAGGAGCUGAAGCGAGAGCUGGUCGUGGUGCAGCCUCCGUAAUGCGCUCACAUAGGUGUGACAGUCGUGUGCGGGUGUAUAUACACACAUCUAUAUAAAAGUUCGCGUGUGUAAGAUAGAUAUAUAAAAAAAUAAACCCCCUCAUGGUCAAAUUACAGAAACAUUUAAAAAUUAUAAAU